rnacentral:rRNA from 1 species
UUAAAGUUGUUGCAGUUAAAACGCUCGUAGUCGAACUUCGGGCCUGGCGGGAUGGUCCGCCUUACGGUGUGUACUAUCCGGCUGGGCCUUACCUCUUGGUGAGACCUCAUGCUCUUUAUUGGGUGUGGGGUGGAACCAGGAAUUUUACCUUGAGAAAAUUAGAGUGUUCAAAGCAGGCAAACGCCCGAAUACAUUAGCAUGGAAUAAUA